rnacentral:rRNA from 1 species
AUGGGCUUCUAUGGCCGUCCGAACUGGAAUGAACACAGCUUAUCCUGGGAUGAUAUUUGCAAUCUUCACAGUAAGGGUGACCAUCCUUGGGUAAUUUUGGGGGAUUUUAAUGAAAUAUUAUAUUCUUCAGAAAAAGAGGGCGGUAAUGCGAGACCAAAUGGUAUGACGAGGGAGUUCCGUGAAUGCCUUAUGGAUUGUGGGCUAGAGGACUUAGGUUACAUUGGCGACCUUUUUACUUGGAGCAGAGGUGAUAUUCGAGAGCGUCUUGAUCGUGCAGUAUGUAAUAUAGGGUGGGCACUCAAAUUCCCUCGUGUAAUGGUGAUUAAUGAAGAACAUGUUCAUUCCGACCAUCGCCCGCUGGUGCUGGAUACGGAUUAUAUGGACGAGAAUAUUUUCAAGCAACCACCGGGACGUGCAAAACAAUUUGAAGCUAGGUGGUUACAGGAAUACACUGUUAAUGAAAUCGUUAAGGCAUCUUGA